UACUCCUACGGGAGGCAGCAGUAGGGAAUCUUCCGCAAUGGGCGAAAGCCUGACGGAGCAACGCCGCGUGAGUGAUGAAGGUCUUCGGAUCGUAAAACUCUGUUAUUAGGGAAGAACAUAUGUGUAAGUAACUGUGCACAUCUUGACGGUACCUAAUCAGAAAGCCACGGCUAACUACGUGCCAGCAGCCGCGGUAAUACGUAGGUGGCAAGCGUUAUCCGGAAUUAUUGGGCGUAAAGCGCGCGUAGGCGGUUUUUUAAGCCUGAUGUGAAAGCCCACGGCUCAACCGUGGAGGGUCAUUGGAAACUGGAAAACUUGAGUGCAGAAGAGGAAAGUGGAAUUCCAUGUGUAGCGGUGAAAUGCGCAGAGAUAUGGAGGAACACCAGUGGCGAAGGCGACUUUCUGGUCUGUAACUGACGCUGAUGUGCGAAAGCGUGGGGAUCAAACAGGAUUAGAUACCCUGGUAGUCCACGCCGUAAACGAUGAGUGCUAAGUGUUAGGGGGUUUCCGCCCCUUAGUGCUGCAGCUAACGCAUUAAGCACUCCGCCUGGGGAGUACGACCGCAAGGUUGAAACUCAAAGGAAUUGACGGA
rnacentral:rRNA from 1 species